AGUAAACUGGAUAAAAAUAAAUAAAGUUGAACACUACAUAUGCUCCUGAGAACUGAAUGGGUAUAUAGAGUGUGUAACUUUCAUUUCAUACGGAUCUGGGGGAGCUUGUACAGAGCACCACUACUGUCCAUCUUGAGAAGGUCUGAAAAAUACAGAGGCAGUAAUUCUACUGUUAAACUUAAAUGACCUUCUGAGCCUGAAAACCACUGUUGAUGGACAUAAACCACUGUGUACGUGGGCUCAUUUAUGAUAUAGUUGUUACCUUGUGUGGUUUAUGAUUUCAGUAUUCUCAAAUGUAAUAUACAGUAGGCCUACCUUGGGAAACUGUUGACUUCUUUUGUAUGUGUGGUGUAUUUGCGUAAACUAUUGGGGUUUUGCAUAUCUGUCCUGCCUCAUUGCUCCACAUACUUUUAAAACCCCAGUGUUGAUCAGUGACUGUUCACUCCUUUCAGAGCCACUGACACGCAGCAUAAUGAUGAUGUCACUGAUUCUACUGCUGGGGACACUGGGGCUCCUUGUUCAGGACUCAUCAGCAGAUAUAAUUCUGACUCAGUCUCCUAAAUCUCAGUCUGUUAGUCCAGGAGAGACUGUCUCUAUCAGCUGUACAGCCAGUUCAAGUACGGGUAAUAAUCUCCAGUGGUACCUGCAGACACCUGGAGAAGCUCCUAAACUCCUGGUUUAUCAUGGUACAAACCGCCAGUCUGGGAUUCCAGGUCGUUUCAGUGGGAGUGGAUCUGGUAGUUCAAACACUCAUUACACUCUGACCAUCAGUGGAGUCCAGGCUGAAGAUGCAGGAGAUUACUACUGUCAGCAGGGUUCCAGCUAUCCGUUCACACAGUGUUAGAGCGUCAUACAAAAA